UUCAUUCUCCCUUUUGGAUGGAGCAUGUGGAUAAGGAAGGUUUUGGAUCGGAGUAGCGCUCACUACCUCCUUUCCUUUAGCAACUCUAGAACUUCUUGCUCUUUUCUUUUUCACUUCCUCCACCAUCACUUCAUCACUUUUAUUUUUCUCAAUUUCCACACUUUUUUUCUUUUCAACUUCACCAUUCUUUUCGUUCUUUUCAACUUCUUCCUCCUCACUCCACUCCCCCACUUCACCAUCAAUAUGGUCCUCCAAUAUUUCCUCC
rnacentral:lncRNA from 1 species